rnacentral:lncRNA from 1 species
GCGGAAAGCCUCCACCUUUCUCCAAAAAGUCCCCUUCGGGCCAGGCAGUCUCCGCCCUCCAUUGUUAAUUGGCCAGAUGUUCUCGCAGCCCAGCCGCUGCCUCCUUGCGCGUCUUUCGUCCCGGGUGGCUCCCGGAGCAGCUGCGCGACGCUGAGAUGCGCUGAGCCCGUGGCAGCAGGUUCCCAUUGCCUUCUCAGAAACUUCGGGAGGAUCCAGCAGAAGAAAAUGGCCCAGUCCGCACACCUGAAUCAAAAUCUCCCAGGUAAUGAGAAAUUUAUUUUAUUUCACUCUGCUUGCGAUGAGGACAUUGGGUCGCAUGCCAUGCUAGGCAUUGCCAGAGCAGAUCCUCUGAAACAAAUGGUUCUAAGUUGGUCGUGGCCUUUAACUACAAUGGGUCUACUCUUGAGUAGAAUUUAGUGGGAGAUAUCCCAUAGGGUAGGGACGCGGGUGGCGCUGUGGGUAAAAGCCUCAGCGCCUAGGGCUUGCCGAUCGAAAGGUCGGCGGUUCGAAUCCCCGCGGCGGGGUGCGCUCCCGCUGCUCGGUCCCAGUGCCUGCCAACCUAGCAGUUCGAAAGCACCCCCGGGUGCAAGUAUAUAAAUAGGGACCGCUUACUGGCGGGAAGGUAAAUGGCGUUCCGUGUGCUGCGCUGGCUCGCCAGAUGCAGCUUUGUCACGCUGGCCACGUGACCCGGAAGUGUCUCUGGACAGCGCUGGCCCCCGGCCUCUUGAGUGAGAUGGGCGCACAACCUCAGAGUCUGUCAAGACUGGCCCGUACGGGCAGGGGUACCUUUACCUUUACCUUUAUCCCAUAGGGUGCUAGCUGCCUUCUGCCAGAUCAUACCAUUAAUCCAUCUAGCUCAGUAUAACAUCUAGAUUCUAGAGUGACGGCAUCUCUGUGGGGGUUUGGAACAGACCUUUCCCGAGCCCUGCCUGGGUUUCCUGAUGGUGGACCCUGGGGUCUUUUGCACAUAAAGAAUGUUUAGAAUCCCAAUCUGUGCUGGUCCCGUGGGCUAACUGAAAGGCGAGGUCCGAGUCCAGUCUGAGGUCAAAGGUGCAGUAUGGAGGCAGUCCGUAAAAGUUGAAGCUGGAUGCAGGGCAGGUAGUCAGGUGAGGUCAGGAGCUCCGGAAGGAAAGCAGGACGGGGUUCAGGCAGGAACCGACAACCAAUGAAGUUGCUCCCGCAACUUGGGACUGGGGCUGGCUGGCUUUUAGCGGCCCCGAUCCUCAGGUGACUCGCCUCUCCUGGCCUGGAGGCGAGCGCUCCUCCUGCGGGAACUUAGUUCCCUCCGCCUCUCUGCCCUGAGCCUCUGCAGCUCAGGAUAGGCUGGAGGGUUACUGGACCCAGAGGCAACCUCUCCUUCCCCUGACAGGGCUGA